rnacentral:circRNA from 1 species
AUUAUCUCCUGCUGCAUACUACGCCCAGAGGAUGAUCCAGUAUCUCUCACGGAGAGACAGUAUUCGCCAGCGCUCCAUGCGCUACCAACAGAACCGUCUCCGUUCUUCCACCUCCUCCUCUUCCUCAGACAACCAGGGUCCAUCAGUAGAGGGAACCGACUUGGAAUUUGAGGACUUUGAGGACAAUGGUGACAGAUCCAGGCACCGAGCUCCACGCAAUGCCCGGAUGUCUGCACCUUCGCUUGGACGCUUUGUCCCAAGGCGUUUCUUGCUGCCUGAGUACUUGCCUUAUGCUGGGAUUUUUCAUGAACGUGGACAGCCUGGCUUGGCUACUCACUCUUCUGUUAACAGGGUCCUGGCAG